AUUUAUCCCACUGCAUUAGACACAUAACAAAUUUUUGUUAAUGUACAUCCGAGUAACUAACACAUUGUGGAAAUGCUGGUGGUGGCAUUGUCAGCAUGACCUUUUCAUUGUAUGAUCAAUUCAGGUUUAGUAAUGCCCCUUAAGAACUCAAAGUUGCCCUAUAAUAAGUAAAAUAGGUAAAAAUGGUCUUAUGCCACCAUACAGUGUCUUUCUUAUCAAAUCCUUCUAGGACCAUGGAACUGGAACAUUCACAUCCAUUGUUCCCAUUGUGCACAUGGCAGAGACCCACGGACUCAGAGGGGAUCGUAGGUGUCUGGCUUAGCUUGGCCCUCAGAGGCAAGCACAUUGCCUCAUGGAUCAUGCAACAGGUACUCGAAGCGUGAAGUGUGUUCUCUGAAAGGACAGCAGAGGCAACAACAACAGAGCCUUACAUUUAUAUGCUGCUGACAAACACGAGCUCAUUUGAUCCUCAUAAAAUGUGUGUGAGGCCAGGCAAGAGGAGAAAAUUGCCAAGCCUUAUUGAUGCACAAGCACCAGUGUUUCUGUUCCAAUCCCAUGGUGCCUACAUCGUUGAACUCUGGUCCUGGAUGAUCCCACGUGCAGACACCACUUUGUGGCCAAGCUCUUAUUGCCCCAGAACCAUGUCAAGGCGGCUAGACAGCUGA
rnacentral:lncRNA from 12 species